CACGUAGGGUGCGAGCGUUGUCCGGAAUUAUUGGGCGUAAAGAGCUCGUAGGCGGUGUGUCGCGUCGACCGUGAAAACCUGCAGCUUAACUGUGGGCUUGCGGUCGAUACGGGCAUCACUGGAGUUCGGCAGGGGAGACUGGAAUUCCUGGUGUAGCGGUGAAAUGCGCAGAUAUCAGGAGGAACACCGGUGGCGAAGGCGGGUCUCUGGGCCGAUACUGACGCUGAGGAGCGAAAGCGUGGGUAGCAAACAGG
rnacentral:rRNA from 1 species